UACGGAGGGGGCUAGCGUUGUUCGGAAUUACUGGGCGUAAAGCGCACGUAGGCGGCUUUGUAAGUUAGAGGUGAAAGCCCAGGGCUUAACCCUGGAAUUGCCUUUAAGACUGCAUCGCUAGAAUCGUGGAGAGGUGAGUGGAAUUCCGAGUGUAGAGGUGAAAUUCGUAGAUAUUGGGAAGAACACCGGUGGCGAAGGCGGCUCACUGGCUCGUUACUGACGCUCAGGCACGACAGCGUGGGGAUCAAACAGG
rnacentral:rRNA from 1 species